UNGCACAUGACGUCCAAAGAAUGAAGAGG
rnacentral:piRNA from 1 species